GUGUUCACUUUGGCAGCACAUAUACUGAGAUUGGACGGAUACAGAGAAGAUUAGCAUGGCCCCUGUGCAAGGAUGUCAGGAAAACGCCAUAUUUUUUAAAUGUAUAA
ensembl:snRNA U6 U6 spliceosomal RNA